UAUCUCAUUUGCAACUGCAUUUCUUUUCUUUUAGGGGUUCCUGGGAUCGUUGCCUCACUCAGAUGGCUUAGAGGCCACUAAAAUCUCAAAGGACCAGCUGGACCCUCACAAGUUCAAUGUACUCAUAGAUGCUGUGUGAUAAAGCAGUUUCCAAAUCCCAUAGUGUCAAUGCAACGAGUCCUACUCAAAGAUAACCGACCUCCACUCCAAGGAUAAGGAUUGACAUUUUUCAGUUUCAGUUUGGUUCCACCAUUUGUACUGUAUGCUUGUGACGGAGUACUUUCACUACAGUUGAGUAAGCGUUUGGACUGCCAUACCAACGAGCCUGGCUCUUUGGCGUCAAAGUUGCAUGUUUGGUACCCUGUAGACCUGGGUUUGAAUUUGGGCAGGGUGACUGCUCUCGCCUUUGGCCGCAUAUGGUGUCAGAAGAAGGACGGCUUGCCAUGAGGUCAUCUGAGCCGUGACCAGAGUCCGAUCCGUAUGAGGGACCCCCAUGGGUAACAUUGAUGAUGGGAUGUGUAUAGUUUACUUUUCAGUGUAGCAGACCUAAAUUUUUAGUUAUGCAUUUUAAUAAAUUUAUGAGAAUUGA